rnacentral:rRNA from 1 species
UGGGGAAUAUUUCACAAUGGGCGCAAGCCUGAUGCAGCCAUGCCGCGUGUGUGAAGAAGGCCUUCGGGUUGUAAAGCACUUUCAGCGGGGAGGAAGGCGUUAAGGUUAAUAACCUUGGCGAUUGACGUUACCCGCAGAAGAAGCACCGGCUAACUCCGUGCCAGCAGCCGCGGUAAUACGGAGGGUGCAAGCGUUAAUCGGAAUUACUGGGCGUAAAGCGCACGCAGGCGGUUGAUUGAGUCAGAUGUGAAAUCCCCGGGCUUAACCCGGGAAUUGCAUCUGAUACUGGACAGCUAGAGUCUUGUAGAGGGGGGUAGAAUUCGAGGUGUAGCGGUGAAAUGCGUAGAGAUGUGGAGGAAUACCGGUGGCGAAGGCGGCCCCCUGGACAAAGACUGACGCUCAGGUGCGAAAGCGUGGGGAGCAAACAGG